AAACGCAGGGACAGCUACACAAAGAAAGCAUCAGGUCAGCCCACUCAACAGGAGAGAAACCAUGCCUGGAGCACAAAACCUACCCAAAUGCUCGGUGCUAGUGAAGUCACAGAUCUUGAAGGAGAGCCUACAACCAUUUUACUGAAGCAACAUAAUCCCUACAACAAUCUGUCUGUGUGCCCGAAGGUUUUCUCUAUGUGUGGCCCUGGCUGCCCUGAAACACAAUAUGCAGACCAGGCUGGCCUUGAACUCAGAUCUGCUUGCCUGUCUCCUGGAUUAAAGGUAUGUUUAUAUUCCAGCUGGAUCGCACAGACCAUAGAAUAUCUUUUGAUGUGAUCUCCUGCCAGAACAGCCAUGUUCUAAAUAAAAAUGCCUUUACAA